rnacentral:lncRNA from 1 species
AAAGUUCUAGAUUUAACAGAAAUUCAGUUAUUUAUCAUAUUUUUUAUUAUAGAGAUUUUAGAUUUUCUUAUGCCACCUUAGGUACCCAGUUAUAGAAACAGGUUGCCUUGGGUAUAUGUUGCCUUCGGAUAUGACGAUGUCCACAGACAUCCAGUUUGCCUUCAGUUUUAUCAGCGCGCUUGACAUUUGCCUCAAAAGUUUUGGGGACACCUG